AACGAACGCUGGCGGCACGCCUAACACAUGCAAGUCGAGCGCUACCUUCGGGUGGAGCGGCGGACGGGUUAGUAACGCGUGGGAACAUACCCUUUACUAAGGAAUAGCCACUGGAAACGGUGAGUAAUACCUUAUACGCCCUUCGGGGGAAAGAUUUAUCGGUAAAGGAUUGGCCCGCGUUAGAUUAGAUAGUUGGUGGGGUAACGGCCUACCAAGUCGACGAUCUAUUGCUGGUUUGAGAGGAUGAUCAGCAACACUGGGACUGAGACACGGCCCAGACUCCUACGGGAGGCAGCAGUGGGGAAUCUUAGACAAUGGGCGCAAGCCUGAUCUAGCGAUGCCGCGUGAGUGAUGAAGGCCUUAGGGUCGUAAAGCUCUUACACCAGGGAUGAUAAUGACAGUACCUGGAAAAGAAACCCCGGCUAACUCCGUGCCAGCAGCCGCGGUAAUACGGAGGGGGUUAGCGUUGUUCGGAAUUACUGGGCGUAAAGCGUACGUAGGCGGACUAGUAAGUUAGGGGUGAAAUCCCGGGGCUCAACCCCGGAACUGCCUUUAAUACUGCUAGUCUUGAGUUCGAGAGAGGUGAGUGGAAUUCCGAGUGUAGAGGUGAAAUUCGUAGAUAUUCGGAGGAACACCAGUGGCGAAGGCGGCUCACUGGCUCGAUACUGACGCUGAGGUACGAAAGUGUGGGGAGCAAACAGGAUUAGAUACCCUGGUAGUCCACACCGUAAACGAUGAAUGCCAGUCGUCGGGUAGCAUGCUAUUCGGUGACACACCUAACGGAUUAAGCAUUCCGCCUG
rnacentral:rRNA from 1 species